AAUUUGGAUAAAGCAUUCUAUUGUGAGGGAAACCAUGCUCUCACUAUGAACUGAGUUUUUAAAAGAUUAUAGAAAAUAUUUUUAAAAUAGAAACAUGGUUAUGAUAGCCUAAGAUAAAAGUGAAUUAAACAGAAUAACACAGAAAGAAUAUUUAUGAAAGGACCUAGAAGUAUGCUAUGGUACAUUCCUCAGCGAGCUGCCUAACAAUUAUGUAUUUUGGAAUUGUCAAUGGCAAUUUAACAUCAAUCAUCAUGAAUACCAAAGCCCCUAUGUCACUUAGUACAAAAAUGCGCUUAACCAAACUUCACUCUGAAUAUCACCACUGCUUUUGGUUGUCUUAACAUUAACCUGAAAAAAUGGCAUAAUGGAAAUCUGACUCAAGUGGUAGAGUGCCAGUCCUGAAGAAAAUAAGUGCAGACAUGAGGCCCUCAUUUCAUCAAUUCAAACCCUAGUACUGGCAUAUGCACACGCACAUACACAAAAUGUAUAACUGAAUUGUGGUUCAUAGAAAAUUUCAUUAUUUCUAUUUUUAUUUGGUGAAACUGGUUAUUGAACUAAAAGCCCUGUGCUUGCUAGGAAGUUCUCAGUUGUAAGAAAUAAUGCAUGUUUACAGUGUACAAGGUGAUAUUUGAUAUGUAUAUAGAUUGUGAACAAAUAAAGCUAAUGAAUACAUUCCUC